UCCUUUCUACCUUUCUGCCUCUCUCAGUAAAGGCUGUUAUUAAGUAACAAAUUCGGGUGGGUCAAGGGCAGAGUAACCAAGAGAUCUCAGCAAGCAUGAGGGAGAUUCAAGGAGCUGGCAUUGUGUGACUGGGGACAGAAAAGCCCUCAUGCAGGCAGGCGGGUCACAAUUGUUCCCUUCAGAUUUCUGAGGGGCUGCCUUGGUGGGAGAGGGGGUAGUUCAGUUCUGUGGGGCUCCAGGGGGCAAAAGGCAUGAUAAAUGAGUAGAAGUCAUGGAGAGGUGGAGCUUGCCUCCAGACAGAAUGCUAAGAAGGAUGCUGCUGCACAGUGGGGACUGAGCCAACUCACUGUUCAACAAAUAAGCAUUGGAGGGUCUCUAGUUCCAUAGAAAGAAGGCAAAUGAAGAGGACAGAAGAAGGAGAGAGACCUUCCCACCCCAUCAGCCCUAUGCUGCAGAGAGGGAUCCCACAUCUACUUCUCUUGCAGAAACCAACUGGUGGAAGUGACCUUCUCAUGGAGUGUCCUUCACAACUCCUACUCAGUCAGCACACUGGAAGACUUCAAAACUUAUUUGCUGAACAAAAGGGGAGUGGGCUCAAUCCUCUAACUCUUUACCACUCAAAAUGUGGUCCAGGGACCAGCUGUAGCCUCAUCACCUAUGAAUCUGUAAAAUGUGUGGAAUCUCAGGCCUUGCCCCAACCCACUGAAUCAGAAUCUGCAUUUUUAAGAGGCUCCCCUAGUGACUCCUGUGCACCUUAAAUCUGGAGAAGCACUGUUCUAACCAACCCCCUUCUUGGGCUGUAGCCAGUUAUUUCAUUGGCUGGAUGGCCAAAUCGCGCUGUGGGUAGGUCAAUCAAUCCUGCAACAUUUGGCAAUUAUGACACCUGAUUCCACUCUAAGAGAGACAAAUUGGUACAGUCAUGGAGCUGUGACCUCAGCAGCAGCUGUGGGAGCUGCCAAGUAUAAACUCCAGGCCAAAUGACACUACUUCUUUUCCUU
rnacentral:lncRNA from 1 species